CACGUAGGCGGCGAAGCAAGACAAAGGUGAAAGCCCUCGGCUCAACCGAGGAACUGCCUUUGAAACUGUUUCGCUUGAGUCCGGGAGGGGGGAGCGGAAUUCCCAGUGUAGCGGUGAAAUGCGUAGAUACUGGGAGGAACACCGGUGGCGAAGGCGGCUCCCUGGACCGGUACUGACGCUGAGGUGCGAAAGCGUGGGGAGCAAACA
rnacentral:rRNA from 1 species